AUUGAACGCUGGCGGCAGGCCUAACACAUGCAAGUCGAGCGAGCGGCGGACGGGUGAGUAAUGUAUGGGGACUGCCCGAUAGAGGGGGAUAACUACUGGAAACGGUGGCUAAUACCGCAUACUAUCGGAUAACCCAUAUGGGAUUAGCUAGUAGGUGGGGUAAAGGCUCACCUAGGCGACGAGCUCUAGCUGGUCUGAGAGGAUGAUCGGCCACACUGGGACUGGGACACGCCCCAGACUCCUACGGAGGCAGCGGUGGGGAAUAUGGAACAAGGGGCGCAACCUUAAGGAGCCCUUGCCGGGUGUAGGAGGAGGCCUUUAGGUUUUAAAAGUAUUUCAGCGGGGAGGCGUUACCCGCAGAAGAAGCACCGGCUAACUCCGUGCCAGCAGCCGCGGUAAUAC
rnacentral:rRNA from 1 species